rnacentral:tRNA from 1 species
GCCUCGGUAGCUCAGUGGGAGAGCUUCCGCCUUGUAAGCGGACGGUCGUCGGUUCAAUCCCGACCCGGGGCUCAA